rnacentral:misc_RNA from 1 species
UGUACAUCCAGCAAGCAAUCUCUGGUUAAUUCCACCAUUUCAAAGAACAAGAAUUAGUUUAAUUACAAUCAGGUUGGAUUAAAAGGGUAUACAUGCAAAUUAAACCCAUGAAAAGAGACAGGUGGAGAUAACGUUUUAAGAGAUAGGAAGAAAAAGGAAAGUGAUCAAAUUGACAAGUGAAGCUGUGAAGGGAGAAAAAGGAUGAAAGGUCUGUCCAUGGACCACGUGGGCUAAGCUUUGCAGCCCUCCGGUCCGUUUUGAACAGGCUACACGAAUCAUAUUUUGUUCUGUUCUGAACCAUGUGGUGCACCAACCAAGUGUGGCCCUGUGAUUCAUUUACCACAAACUCCGUUCAUAAAACAACAAAACCAAGAAGAAAACUAAACAUACCUGCGUAUGAUGAUAUGCACACAA